AUUUUACAUAGGAUUUAAGAGUACAAAAGGUUUAUUGCUGCCUGAGUGGAGCCUGUAUAGUCCAGCUUGUUUUACUGACUCUUUCCCCAAUUUUUUUUCAGUAGACACCUGAUCACCAAGCCCAGACCUGCUCACCUUGCUCCCAGAUACUGAGCUUCAACAGGGCAAGCAGCAGCUCCUGUGCAGAAGCACAGUGGUGUUAUGAGGAGACACGUUCUCCAAACACAUGAGAUUUUGGAGCUGGGAAAUUUGGAGCAAUUUGCUUUUAAUUGUGUGCAUUUAUCUCAGAUUUUUCACCGCUUCCUUUGCUCUGAGCAACCCCAGCCCAUGAGUUUAUCUCACUGUCACGCAAUCUACUUUGGUGAGCAGGUUGCAGCUGCAGCUGGCUCGAUGCAGGUUUUCUCCUCCAAAUACUGGAACUUCUCCUCCACCCCGUCUGCCCCCACAGUAUACCUCCCUGAGGACCACAGUUUUUUAAGAAAGACGUGGAGCAGGGGAGACUGGGAAGAUCCCGCACAGGCUGAAUGCCCAUGGGAAAACACGGCGAGGAUGUGCAGUGUGAGAUGGGACCUGAGAAUCUCCCUGCAGAAAGCCUCCUGAGCUGAGUACUCACCUCACCUCCCAGCAGCGAGGCACAGCUCGAGGACAUGGCAAACAGAAAUCCCAGCACAGUUUUCAGCACACUCAGCAAAUUAGUAGAAGUGUCUCUGUUGAAUAUGUAAGUGUGUUUAGGCACUUCAGACUCCUUGGCUGUGCUUGAUUGUCUAAUUUUGCAUAUUUUUAGGAAUGAGGAAUCUGUGCGUGACUUUGAACACUCUGUAUCGUAUUCAGUUAUGUUUAUUUUUAAAGUGCAGUGUGAGGAGAGAACAUUUCAGCAUAAGUGUUACAUUUCUUUAGCUAAUAAUUGACAUGCUUUAACAUGCAUUUUCCAUGGUAACUGAGAGGAUUUAGUUAUAUCCAUUGCCUUUGAUGUCAAAGAUUACCUCCUCGCCAUCUGCAAUUACUCAUUUCUUUCCCACUCCCAUAAAUUCCCACUUUAUCCACUGUGUUAAGUGAAUGUUUGAGGAGCUGGACUGUAAACCAGAUAACCGAAGUGGUAACAAACUACAGCAUUUGGGCAGAAGCAGGUGGCCACAGAUAAGGGCAGAAGCAAGAACUUGUACGUUUAAGUUGGCUAUGUUGCCACAACUGUUGUGCUGCUGCACUCUGAGCGGGUUAGCACGAUGGAGGACCCAUUGUCAACACAUUGGGUAUUGACUUUCUCCUCCACAGUCCUACAAUGUGUGUAUACAGGUCUUGGAUCACCUGCCAUCAUGACCCCAGAAUGACAAGAUGAUUAAUAUCAGAUGAAAUUUAUACAGUGAACCAAGAACCUUCUUGCUGCACACACUUUUUUUCUGAAGGAGUGGAGUUAGAUAGUGAUACAAAGCAGUUUUCUAGAGAGGGGUCAGGGAUGGACAGGAAUUCCUUAUGAUAAUAAGGAACUUGACAUGAGAAAUCAGUCUGAAAACACUAAAAUCAAAUCCAUGGAGAAACAAGGCAAGUAUUUGGAUUACAUUCACCCCUGCUUUAUGUAGUACAUUCCUCAGGGCCUUGCUCC
rnacentral:lncRNA from 1 species